UACGGGGGGGGUAAGCGUUGUUCGGAAUUACUGGGCGUAAAGGGCUCGUAGGCGGCCAACUAAGUCAUACGUGAAAUCCCUCAGCUUAACUGGGGAACUGCGUGUGAUACUGGAUGGCUUGGAUUUGGGAGAGGGAUGCGGAAUUCCAGGUGUAGCGGUGAAAUGCGUAGAUAUCUGGAGGAACACCGGUGGCGAAGGCGGCAUCCUGGACCAACACUGACACUGAGGAGCGAAAGCCAGGGGAGCAAACGGG
rnacentral:rRNA from 1 species